rnacentral:rRNA from 1 species
UACGUAGGGUGCAAGCGUUGUCCGGAAUUAUUGGGCGUAAAGGGCGCGUAGGCGGCCACCGCAAGUCGACUGUGAAAUCUCUGGGCUUAACCCAGAAAGGUCAGCCGAUACUGCGGGGCUAGAGUGCAGAAGGGGCAACUGGAAUUCUCGGUGUAGCGGUGAAAUGCGUAGAUAUCGAGAGGAACACCUGCGGCGAAGGCGGGUUGCUGGGCUGACACUGACGCUGAGGCGCGAAAGCUAGGGGAGCGAACGGG